CCAGCUCUCUUUGCCUAUUGGCUUAGAUCAAGUGUAGUAUCUGUUCUUUUCAGUUUAAUCUCUGAAAGUUUUCCAAUGGAAAACAACUUUGAUUAUUCCCAUUUUUGGAUCCCGCAACUUGGCCUCUGUGCUUGCGCAUGCCUCGUUGCACAGUGUCAUCGGGCUUACACUACCCCCGAUCGAUGCGAACACCC
rnacentral:snRNA from 1 species